UACAGAGGGUGCGAGCGUUGUCCGGAAUCACUGGGCGUAAAGGGCGCGUAGGUGGCGCCCCAAGUCAGUGGUGAAAGCUCGCCGCUUAACGGCGAGUCGGCCACUGAGACUGGGGGGCUCGAGCACUGUAGAGGCAGAUGGAAUUCCGGGUGUAGCGGUGGAAUGCGUAGAGAUCCGGAAGAACACCGGUGGCGAAGGCGGUCUGCUGGGCAGUAGCUGACACUGAGGCGCGACAGCGUGGGGAGCAAACAGGAUUAGAAACCCCUGUAGUCC
rnacentral:rRNA from 1 species